rnacentral:rRNA from 1 species
GUCCUACGGGAGGCAGCAGUGAGGAAUAUUGGUCAAUGGCCGAGAGGCUGAACCAGCCAAGUCGCGUGAGGGAAGAAUGUCCUAUGGAUUGUAAACCUCUUUUGUCAGGGAGCAAAGUCACCCACGUGUGGGUGUUGGAGAGUACCUGAAGAAAAAGCAUCGGCUAACUCCGUGCCAGCAGCCGCGGUAAUACGGAGGAUGCGAGCGUUAUCCGGAUUUAUUGGGUUUAAAGGGUGCGUAGGCGGUCCGUUAAGUCAGCGGUAAAAUUGCGGGGCUCAACCCCGUCGAGCCGUUGAAACUGGCAG